GCUGCUAUGGCUCAGAUGGUAGAGCGCGUCCUUGGUAAGGACGAGGUCACCAGUUCAAUUCUGGUUAGCAGCUCCA
rnacentral:tRNA from 1 species